UACGAAGGGGGGCUAGCGUUGCUCGGAAUUACUGGGCGUAAAGCGCACGUAGGCGGCUUUGUAAGUUAGAGGUGAAAGCCCAGGGCUCAACCCUGGAAUUGCCUUUAAGACUGCAUCGCUAGAAUUGUGGAGAGGUAAGUGGAAUUCCGAGUGUAGAGGUGAAAUUCGUAGAUAUUCGGAAGAACACCAGUGGCGAAGGCGACUUACUGGACACAUAUUGACGCUGAGGUGCGAAAGCGUGGGGAGCAAACAGG
rnacentral:rRNA from 1 species